AGUGAACGCUGGCGGCGUGCUUAACACAUGCAAGUCGAACGAGAACGGGCUAAAGCUUGCUAUAGUUGUCAGCUAAGUGGCGCACGGGUGAGUAAUGUAUAGGUAAUAUGCCUCUUACUAAGGGAUAACAAAUGGAAACGUUUGCUAAUACCUUAUACUCCUUAUUAACAGAAGUUAAUAAGGGAAAGAUUUAUUGGUAAGAGAUUAGCCUGUAUUGUAUCAGUUAGUUGGUGGGGUAAUGGCUUACCAAGACUAUGACACAUAACUGGUUUGAGAGGAUGAUCAGUCACACUGGAACUGAGACACGGUCCAGACUCCUACGGGAGGCAGCAGUGGGGAGUAUUGCACAAUGGACGAAAGUCUGAUGCAGCAACGCCGCGUGGAGGAUGACACAUUUCGGUGCGUAAACUCCUUUUAUAUGAGAAGAUAAUGACGGUAUUAUAUGAAUAAGCACCGGCUAACUCCGUGCCAGCCGCCGCGGUAA
rnacentral:rRNA from 1 species